rnacentral:RNase_P_RNA from 1 species
GCGGAGGGCCGGAUGGCCGCUCGGGGAGCGAUCCCCGGGAGGAAAGUCCGGACUCCACAAGGCAAAGGUGCCGGGUAACGCCCGGGCAGGGCAACCUGACGGAAAGUGCCACAGAAAACAGACCGCUCCCGCAUGCGGGAGCAAGGGUGAAACGGUGGGGUAAGAGCCCACCGGGGGGCUGGCAACAGGCCUCGCACGGCAAACCCCACCUGGAGCAAUGCCGAAUAGGAAUCUCGCAUGGGCUGUCUUGGUCCGAGGUUCGGGUAGGCAGCUGGAGGGGCGUCGGCAACGGCGUCUUGAGAGGAAUGGUCAUCCAUGGCGGGCACGCCCGCCGGGACAGAAUCCGGCUUACAGGCUCUCCGCGCGU